AGAUCGUCAAGUGAAUAUGUUUUUAGAUAUUGGAAGCAGUUGGAUCAUAUUCUCUCAAUGUAUUGCAUGCUUCGAUCAAACUUCUAGAGUUGAUUUUGCUUUGCAGUUUGAUGAAAAUAAGAUAAAAAUAUAGCAUCAUGAAAUUGAUCAUCUAGGUUAGCCUCAAUAUGUCUAAGACAUAAUCUAUGAUACCCAUAUGGCGCUGUCCAUCCAAUAGAUUCAUCUGAAAUAGGAGCUAAUAUUUCUUUAUGUCGAUCUAAAAUUCUGCCAAUCUCCAUACAGUCACGUGUCACAUA
rnacentral:lncRNA from 1 species